rnacentral:rRNA from 1 species
AGUGAACGCUGGCGGUAGGCCUAACACAUGCAAGUCGAACGGCAGCACAGGAGAGCUUGCUCUCUGGGUGGCGAGUGGCGGACGGGUGAGGAAUACAUCGGAAUCUACCUUUUCGUGGGGGAUAACGUAGGGAAACUUACGCUAAUACCGCAUACGACCUACGGGUGAAAGUGGGGGACCGCAAGGCCUCACGCGAUUAGAUGAGCCGAUGUCCGAUUAGCUAGUUGGCGGGGUAAUGGCCCACCAAGGCGACGAUCGGUAGCUGGUCUGAGAGGAUGAUCAGCCACACUGGAACUGAGACACGGUCCAGACUCCUACGGGAGGCAGCAGUGGGGAAUAUUGGACAAUGGGCGCAAGCCUGAUCCAGCCAUACCGCGUGGGUGAAGAAGGCCUUCGGGUUGUAAAGCCCUUUUGUUGGGAAAGAAAUCCUAUCGGUUAAUAACCGGUGGGGAUGACGGUACCCAAAGAAUAAGCACCGGCUAACUUCGUGCCAGCAGCCGCGGUAAUACGAAGGGUGCAAGCGUUACUCGGAAUUACUGGGCGUAAAGCGUGCGUAGGUGGUGGUUUAAGUCCGUUGUGAAAGCCCUGGGCUCAACCUGGGAAUUGCAGUGGAUACCGGAUCACUAGAGUGUGGUAGAGGGAUGCGGAAUUUCUGGUGUAGCAGUGAAAUGCGUAGAGAUCAGAAGGAACAUCCGUGGCGAAGGCGGCAUCCUGGGCCAACACUGACACUGA